GACGAACGCUGGCGGCGUGCCUAAUACAUGCAAGUAGAACGCUGAAGGAGGAGCUUGCUCUUCUGGAUGAGUUGCGAACGGGUGAGUAACGCGUAGGUAACCUGCCUGGUAGCGGGGGAUAACUAUUGGAAACGAUAGCUAAUACCGCAUAACAGUAGAUGUUGCAUGACAUUUACUUAAAAGGUGCAAUUGCAUCACUACCAGAUGGACCUGCGUUGUAUUAGCUAGUUGGUGGGGUAACGGCUCACCAAGGCGACGAUACAUAGCCGACCUGAGAGGGUGAUCGGCCACACUGGGACUGAGACACGGCCCAGACUCCUACGGGAGGCAGCAGUAGGGAAUCUUCGGCAAUGGACGGAAGUCUGACCGAGCAACGCCGCGGGAGGGAAGAAGGUUGUCGGAUCGUAAAGCUCUGUUGUAAGAGAAGAACGAGUGUGAGAGUGGAAAGUUCACACUGUGACGGUAGCUUACCAGAAAGGGACGGCUAACUACGUG
rnacentral:rRNA from 1 species